CAGACAACAGAUGUUGACAGCCAAACCAGAAAGGAUUGGGACCACAAUAUUAUGGAAAGGGCAUGUCGCCUUGGAUUUUCUGAAAUUCAUUCUCUGGUGAGAUUUCAUUUUGGAAGCAGAAAAGAGUUGAUAGCACUCACCAGUUUCCACCUUGGAAUGGUCUAAGCGGUCAAUGACCUUCUCCUGGCGGAUGAGAUAAUCUACAAUCUGCACCCCAAUUGGCGGCUCU